AGCAUCAAUCUACCUAUUCUAAACCUACAUUAAAACAGAAACAAUCAAGUAUUAAAAAUUAAUAUAGAAUAACUAAAAAGAUAAAAAAUAAAAAACUCGCCUCUACACUGCAGAAGCAGAACCACAGUCACGGGCUCACGGCAGAGAAGGCGAUCCACGGCGGAGCCAAGACGGCCGGGAUGAUACAGACGGAGGCGAGGGGCGCGGAGGAAGCACAGGCGAGCAGAGGCUGGCGGCGCACAGAGGAGGCAGAGGAGCCGGCGAGAGGCCCGGAGACGAGGAGGCGACCGUAGGGUGGCGCUGAGUGAGGCACAGAGGUGAGACACCCUGAGGCUGAUAGCCGUUGUGUGUGAUGUUUCCUGUGAGAGGGAGAGAGUGCGCGAGGCUG
rnacentral:lncRNA from 1 species